rnacentral:lncRNA from 1 species
UUGGUAUGGAUCUAAAGAUUGUCAUGAUGCAUGUGAUGUAUGUAUGAAGUUUAGAUCAUAUCCAUGUAUGUUUAAUUGUUAAACAUAUUAUAAAAAUUUAUUUUUAUGAAGUAAAAUAUAUGGUAUGCUUCACCUGAAAUCUUGGUAGAAUAGUUCUACAGACUGAAAUAUACAUUUCAUACACUUAAUUUUGAAUUAAAUUUGAAUGAUCUAGAUUUAAGAAUUGAAGAUCAUUAAAAUAUCAGAUAAAUCGAUGGGCAAAGGGUUAGCUUGAAUCAGGUCCUUCUAAUGGGUUAAACCUAGGGUUAAAAAUAUAUAUGGACCAAGUAGAGAAAUUAGUUAAAUCUAAUCCAGUGUUAAAUUAGAUUAGAUCAGAAUUUUUCUAAAUCAACUUCAAUAAUUAUAGUUUGAUCAAGUUCAUAUUUUUGACCCUAAUAAAUGGACUAUGAUCAUGGCUCCGUGGUUGAAUCCGAGUCUUUUGAUGAAUCAAAUUGAAACUAAUUAACCAGUUGGUAUCUAAGUAAGUUUGGCAGAUUCGAUCAAGUGAUUUUUAAUUGAGAGCUACUCACCUAGAUACGUCUACGGUGAGUUAAUGGCACAACCCUCCCACUGAUCUCACUUAUUUGACUGACAUGGUAGAUUGUGUUUCAAUUAGGUCAUUAGUCGAUUGGUGUGGACCCAUGCCAUUAAGGUUAAUCAGUGUGAUUGAUUUAGAUAUCUUUAGACCAACUUAUGUCUAAUCUUCUACAUGACUUGGUGAAGUCAGUGGGAGGAUUUACAGCUUGCAGAUCAUUUUCUUCUCUUAUUCUCAAGUCAAUAAAAUCAAAUUCUCUAAAUUAUUAGAUCCAUAAAAUGAUAGAGUUAUGAGAUAACUUGGUCAUAACCUCCCAUUAAGGUGUGUGACAAUGAGUCUAAUAUUUCAAUUAGGCAUUGGAGGUGUCACAUACUUGGUGUCUAUUACGUAUUGAAAUUAUCAUUCAUCAUAUGACUAUCAUGAUGUAUCUUCAGAUCAAUACUCAGGUUGAUCGAGCCGCACUCGAGUCUGGACAUCCAUUUAUUGGAUGCAUUUGAUAUUGUUAUAUUAAUGGUUGGACCUAACCAAGAUUUUCAGAGGAGGCACUACAUGCCUACUGAAGAGAUACCUGG